rnacentral:lncRNA from 1 species
CCCCCACUGUACUGUGAAGCUCAGGGCAAGACUUUCUAAAAGUCUUCUGCCUACACCUGACAUGCUGUCCAGUGUGCACAGUUAUAUGUUGACUGUAUGAAGAUGGUGAAGGCUUUUCUGUAGUUGCAGAUCUCGCAAAAGGGGAGGAAGGCCUUCACCGCUGAACCCGAGCUUUGCCAUUUCGAAGUGCUGAGUCACCUCGUCCUCUCAGGGUCAGACACUUUCACGCAGGAAACGUCCUGCAGAGCACCGCAGCGGGAGCACCGAGCUGACCUGGAAGGAGAGAACAAGGGCCUUCCUGAGGCAGGACAAGGACCCAGAACUACCCAGAAUGCAGCAGGGCGGCCCCGCACGACUGAGCUCUGAUCCUAACCUGCAAAGUGAAGUUUCAAUUUCCACUUCCUGAGAAGGUCAGGUGUAUAGGUGUGAACCAAGUGCACGUCUAGUUCCCUUGGAGGCCAGAAAGAAGGCGGUGUCAGAUCCCCAGGAACCAUAGUUACAGAUGGUUGAUGUGGAAACUCAGAGAGGAUGCCACUGUUUUGAACUAUUUUGAAGGCACAGCCACCAGAGCUUUAGGGACAGGGUAUUUUAUCACAGCAACAGAAAUGAAACCAAAACAACUCCACAAUAAAAUUCUUGAGUUUCUUGGGGCCAAGAAGAUGACACGAUAAGAUAAAGACACUGGCCAAGCAUGACCUCCAGAGUUUGGCCCUUGCAUAAAGGAGAAAAUUAAUUCCUUCAGUUGUUCUCUGACCUCCACAUGCGUCCUGUAACAUGGGUGUAUGCAUACACAUAAACACACAUCCACACGUUGUUAAAUAAAUAAAAAAAAUAUGUUAACA